AUUGAACGCUGGCGGCAUGCCUUACACAUGCAAGUCGAACGGCAGCGGACCUUCGGGUGCCGGCGAGUGGCGAACGGGUGAGUAAUGCAUCGGAACGUGCCAUUGAGUGGGGGAUAACGUAGCGAAAGUUGCGCUAAUACCGCAUAUUCUGUGAGCAGGAAAGCAGGGGACCGCAAGGCCUUGCGCUCUUUGAGCGGCCGAUGUCAGAUUAGCUAGUUGGUGAGGUAACGGCUUACCAAGGCGACGAUCUGUAGCGGGUCUGAGAGGAUGAUCCGCCACACUGGAACUGAGACACGGUCCAGACUCCUACGGGAGGCAGCAGUGGGGAAUUUUGGACAAUGGGGGCAACCCUGAUCCAGCCAUGCCGCGUGAGUGAAGAAGGCCUC
rnacentral:rRNA from 1 species